rnacentral:rRNA from 1 species
UACGUAGGGCGCAAGCGUUGUCCGGAAUUAUUGGGCGUAAAGAGCUCGUAGGCGGUUUGUCACGUCGGCUGUGAAAACCCGAGGCUCAACCUCGGGCCUGCAGUCGAUACGGGCAGACUAGAGUGCUGUAGGGGAGACUGGAAUUCCUGGUGUAGCGGUGAAAUGCGCAGAUAUCAGGAGGAACACCAAUGGCGAAGGCAGAUCUCUGGGCCGUAACUGACGCUGAGGAGCGAAAGCAUGGGGAGCGAACAGG